GAUUCCUACGGGAGGCAGCAGUAAGGAAUAUUGGUCAAUGGGCGCAAGCCUGAACCAGCCAUGCCGCGUGAAGGAUGACGGCCCUAUGGGUUGUAAACUUCUUUUGUACGGGAAAAAACCACCGGUCGUGUAUCGGUGCUGAUGGUACCGUAAGAAUAAGCAUCGGCUAACUCCGUGCCAGCAGCCGCGGUAAUACGGAGGAUGCAAGCGUUAUCCGGAUUCAUUGGGUUUAAAGGGUGCGCAGGCGGAGUGAUAAGUCAGUGGUGAAAGCCUACAGCUUAACUGUAGAACUGCCAUUGAUACUGUCAUUCUUGAGUAUUGUUGAGGUAGGCGGAAUGCGUCAUGUAGCGGUGAAAUGCUUAGAUAUGACACAGAACACCGAUCGCGAAGGCAGCUUACCAAGCAAUAACUGACGCUCAUGCACGAAAGCGUGGGGAUCAAACAGGAUUAGAUACCCUGGUAGUCCACGCCGUAAACGAUGAUCACUCGAUGUUGGCGAUACACAGUCAGCGUCUUAGGGAAACUAUUAAGUGAUCCACCUGGGGAGUACGGUCGCAAGAUUGAAACUCAAAGGAAUUGACGGGGGCCCGCACAAGCGGAGGAGCAUGUGGUUUAAUUCGAUGAUACGCGAGGAACCUUACCUGGGCUCGAACGUGGAAUGACAGUCGCGGAAACGUGAUCUUCUUCGGACAUUCUACGAGGUGCUGCAUGGUUGUCGUCAGCUCGUGCCGUGAGGUGUCGGGUUAAGUCCCAUAACGAGCGCAACCCCUAUCUUUAGUUGCCAUCAGGUAAUGCUGGGGACUCUAAAGAAACUGCCUACGCAAGUAGUGAGGAAGGCGGGGAUGACGUCAAAUCAGCACGGCCCUUACGUCCAGGGCUACACACGUGCUACAAUGGCCGGUACAGAGGGCAGCUACCUGGUGACAGAUGCAAAUCUCCAAAGCCGGUCUCAGUUCGGAUCGAAGUCUGAAACUCGACUUCGUGAAGUUGGAUUCGCUAGCAAUCGCGCAUCAGCCAUGGCGCGGUGAAUACGUUCCCGGGCCUUGUACACACCGCC
rnacentral:rRNA from 1 species